rnacentral:rRNA from 1 species
UGUAAGCGUAUACCAAAGUUGUUGCAGUUAAAACGCUCGUAGUCGGAAUUUGGCAGUUCCGGAAGUGUGCACGUCGUGUGCGCACUUUGCGGGGACUGCUUUUGUGGUCUUGCGUAGGAUGAGGCACUUUCAUUAGUGAACGUCCUCACGCAACCACUCUUUACUGUGAGAAAAUCAGAGUGCUCAGAGCAGGCAUUUGCCGUGAAUGUAUUAGCAUGGAAUAAUAGAAUAGGACUCGGUUCUAUUUUGUUGGUUUGUUGGGACUGAGUAAUGAUUAAGAGGGACAGUUGGGGGCAUUUGUAUUCCGGCGCUAGAGGUGAAAUUCUUAGAUUGCCGGAAGACAAACUGCUGCGAAAGCGUCUGCCAAGGAUGUUUUCAUUGA